CCUACGGGGUGCUGCAGUGAGGAAUAUUGGUCAAUGGACGAGAGUCUGAACCAGCCAAGUAGCGUGAAGGAUGACUGCCCUAUGGGUUGUAAACUUCUUUUAUAUGGGAAUAAACUGUUCCACGUGUGGGAUUUUGUAUGUACCAUAUGAAUAAGGAUCUGCUAACUCCGUGCCAGCAGCCGCGGUAAUACCGAGGAGCCGAGCGUUAUCCGGAUUUAUUGGGGUUAAAGGGAGCGUAGGUGGAUUGUUAAGUCAUUUGUGAAAGUUUGCGGCUCAACCGUAAAAUUGCAGUUGAAACUGGCAGUCUGGAGUACAGUAGAGGUGGGCGGAAUUCGUGGUGUAGCGGUGAAAUGCUUAGAUAUCACGAAGAACUCCGAUUGCGAAGGCAGUUCACUGGACUGCAACUGACACUGAGGCUCGAAAGUGUGGGUAUCAAACAGGAUUAGAUACCCGUGUAGUC
rnacentral:rRNA from 1 species